rnacentral:tRNA from 1 species
UGUCCAGGGAUGGGAUUCGAACCCACAGUGUUCCGCUUACCGGGCAGAUGCCAUGUCCACUAGGCUACCCUGGC